rnacentral:rRNA from 1 species
AAUACAAUACAACUUUCAGCAUCGGAUCUCUUGGCUCUCACAUCGAUGAAGAACGCAGAGAAAUGCGAUAAGYAAUGUGAAUUGCASAAUUCAGUGAAUCAUCAAAUCUUUGAACGCACCUUGCGCCCCUUGRCURUUCCGAGGGRCAUGCCYGUUUGAG